GAUGAACGCUGGCGGCGUGCUUAACACAUGCAAGUCGAACGGUGAAGGCGGAGCUUGCUCUGCUGGAUCAGUGGCGAACGGGUGAGUAACACGUGAGCAAUCUGCUCCUGACUCUGGGAUAAGCGCUGGAAACGGCGUCUAAUACUGGAUACGAGCUGCGAAGGCAUCUUCAGCAGCUGGAAAGAAUUUCGGUCAGGGAUGAGCUCGCGGCCUAUCAGCUUGUUGGUGAGGUAAUGGCUCACCAAGGCGUCGACGGGUAGCCGGCCUGAGAGGGUGACCGGCCACACUGGGACUGAGACACGGCCCAGACUCCUACGGGAGGCAGCAGUGGGGAAUAUUGCACAGUGGGCGAAAGCCUGAUGCAGCAACGCCGCGUGAGGGACGACGGCCUUCGGGUUGUAAACCUCUUUUAGCAGGGAAGAAGCGAAAGUGACGGUACCUGCAGAAAAAGCGCCGGCUAACUACGUG
rnacentral:rRNA from 1 species